GGUUGAACGGAUAACUUCCGUUUUCAAGAGUAUUAGGCUUCUGGGGUGGGAAGCU
rnacentral:ncRNA from 17 species